UGCCAACAAGAACUGCAAUGAGGAGUCGUUGACAGGAGGAAACUUUUUAAAAGAGACCACACACCACCUCAUCAACAUGCUUGAAGAUGAUCUGAGCCUGAAGAGGGACAAAGGGCCUAGUGAUAAGACUACCUUUCUGCAAGUAUUGACAAUUCUGCUUUUGUAUGGUGAUAAUUUCAGGGAAUACAUGGUGAUGAGGCAUCAGUGUUGCAAUCAUCUGUUUGUGAGUGAUCAAAGAUGUUUCGCAAG